GGAGAGAUGUCCGAGCGGCUGAAGGAGCACGACUGGAAAUCGUGUGUGGGGGUUAAAAACUCCACCGUGGGUUCAAAUCCCACUCUCUCCGCCA
rnacentral:tRNA from 1 species